ensembl:lncRNA
UGUGGAUGAUGCAGGAAAUAGAAAUCAGAGUUAUGCAGUGAUAAUGGGCAUGAAAGAGCAUCCUAGUUUCAGAUCUUCCUUCUGCUCUCUCCUUCCUUUUUUUCUAGGGACACAACUUUUUUCAAACAGUCAAACUCAACGCAUCUGUCUCGCUUUGCAUCCAACGCCCUGUUCUUUCAGAGUUUUGGUUGCUUUUUCUGUUGGACAUACAAAUUUCCUGAGCUCCAGACCUGACGUUUUUCUAUGUGUUUGCAACAGAAAACACAAUCCACAUCCCAUUUUUGUAUGGUUUAAACGGACCUCCCCCUAAGGAAGUUGUAUGUCACUUGCUGAGCCAUCCUUGCUUUCUCACAGCUGCUUCUGAGACUGCUGCUGUGGUUCAGAGUUGGUCGUUGUUUCCACUGCAAUGGUGGUUUAGUGAGAGAGUUUCUCUGCUGGCUGGUUUGCAGCCGUGACGCUCAGGCACUUGUACGGGACUUGAUAGUGUAGCCUGUGCUCCAUUCCCUCCCUCCUAGUUUCAUGCAACCUGAGACAUCUCAGACCCAGCACUUACCACUGUGCCAGGCAUAAGGCUUAAUUUUUUGAAGUAGCUAGAGAAAUGAAUCAUUUCACAAGUCUCAGCAGAUGCUCUGGAUUCAUACAGCUGAUCCUUCCACUGCUCUUAUUCUUCUGGCAAGACAAUGGCAAAACGAGAAUGCAAGAAACACCUCAUUGUUGCACAUGAUGAAUGGGUCAUUGCAAAGCAUGUUUAAAUGACCUUAGAAGUUAUAGCAACUGAAUGUGGCGGGGUGUUGAGUCUGUGUCAUACCUGGACAUCUAGAGAUAUGUAACAUGCCCUCUGUGACCAACUAACACCUGGUUCCUGUAGAUUAAAUGUCCUGGUGCUGUCAUAGUCUAGAUUCCCCCUUCUGCCGGGGAGCUGUCCUGGGCUCCACGAAGACUGUCUGGGGCUGCUCAUCUCAGCGUGAGCGGGGUUACGAGACAAGAAUGUUUCAUGGGGUUUCUAAGCAUGUGGAGGAACUCCAGGGCACACACAGUCCAGAGAGAUGGUGCAAGGGUCUGUCAUCCCUGGACAUCCAGAGAUAUGCCAAGAGUCUGCAAGAAAUCACCCGAGGCUGGAGUUUGCAUCCAAAUCUCCGCCAAACCAUAUUGGGAUCUAUGCGUGAAUAUAAAGGAGCUGUGGCAGGUCUGUGGUUGAACUGGAUUCCUACCUGGAGCAGAGAAGGGAAUAACAUUGUACAGUUGAGCCACAGGGAUGUGGCAUGAGACCUUUGUUGCUAUGUUAAGCACUGAAACAGGCUACGAGACGAUGAGCAGAGAUGUCUGGUACCUAUUUUAGUCAGCGCCUGGUGUGUUCUGACACCUUUUGAAGCACAAUGUGAGACAGCCCCUGAAUCAUGGGAAUGAGAUUUAGGUCUCACAAUGGAGGGACACCCCUUACACACACCUCCCCCCCACCACACUCAUAUCCCUUCACUUUUAGCAUCUCGUCUCCUCUUCUUUGUCCAGAAGAAUAAUGCAAAUCCAACAGUCAUGUGGGUGGCUACCUAACAUGAGCUGGAGCAUCAGGCAGCCUUUCUCGGAAACUGCUGAAACCAAGACCAACAGUGUGCAAACCUUGUGGGUCUGUCAGCAGGCAGGGAUUUGCUGAGAACGGCUGGCCUGUGAGUUUGAAUUUGUGACACCCCAGAAGGGUAGGGACCAAGGAAUCACUUUUUUUUCCUGUGCGUCCUUAAGAGGCAGUGUCAGCCCUGAAGCAAGCUCUGUUCCACGUGCCGGCAGAGGGGCAUCUUCCCAAAUACCAGCUCAUUUCUAGCAGCCAGGCGUCAUCACGCUAACCAGUCCUGUACAGCAACCUUAUCUAUAGCUGUUGGGUGAGGUGCGCUCUGCUGAGAAGCCCGUGAGUAAGGCAGGGUGGGACCAGGGAGAAAACACUGAUAUUUGGGUUUACUAUUAACUGGCUUACUGUUUAGGGUUUGACCAUCUGUUUUCUGUUUGUGAGGGUUUGUGCAUAGUCACAAUGUGUGGAUCGGUAAGCAAGGUCUAGUGUGCUCCAUAGGAAACAUGAGCUAAACCAUGUGGCAAGGUCCCUGUACUGCAUGUUAGGGCUGCAGAGAGGGGCUCCAGUGUCAAAGCCAGACGGUCCUGAAAACUAAGAUUCCUACUGAAUUAAAUCUAGAAAUACGUAUGCUCUGAGCAGCGUCCCCUCCCCCAGGAACUGGAUACUUGAUUCCAUUUCUUCGGGGCUGGCCCCACUGUGCAUAGUCGGAGGACUGCAGAGAGGCGGUUUUUAUUGGACUUGCCUGUCUAGAAGAGUUGGCAGCAGGACGCUGGAGCCAGGCCAGGUGUUUAGGCUGCUAGACAGCUGAGAGAGGCAGUUUGGGUUUGGGAGAUCAGUGCCUGAGCUGGAUGCAGAAGUAAUGGCCAUUAAUGCAGUGCUUAAUGGUGUCACUGAGAGGCGCAUAAUGUGGAAUACGUUACUGACACCCCAACGAGACGGUAAGACACAGUCCAGUUUGGAGCUGUUGUUUCAGGCCUUGCAGACUUGAGCAGACGCAGCACUGCCCUGGUGUGCACGCCAUUCACCUUCAGUUUUCCUUGCUGUCUCAAGUGCUUGAAGAUGUUUAGACUUUACGUGGGAGUGUGGAUUCAGAGCACAUCCCUACAGCAUGGGGCAGCUCCUGUGGCUUUGGAGACAGGGAGAGGAGCAUUUCUAGGAAGAGCUAGACUUCUGGAUGAGGUGAGCCCUGCCAUUAACACUCCAGCUGGGAGCGUGUUCAUUGGGCCGGUUUCCAGUGCCCUCUGGGAGCUUUUGCGUUCGCUCUGUCCAAGUGUGUCUAGCAAGCAGGCUGCUGCAGCGUGGGGUUAGGUCAUUCUGACUCUCAUCUCCGCUCAGUCCUGGAGGCUUGAGCUGCUUGUUUUAUGUUCUUGUGUCCAGUUCCUGAGAGGAGUCCACCGCACUUUAUCUUAGCUCCACACAAAUGGUUUUCUUAUUCCAGACAUGGAGCUGAUUCCUAAACGUGGCAUGGGGCACAUCAUCAUGAGAUGUUUACUGCAGAGCUGCCUCGUUCGUUCUGCAGUAAACGUCUCAGCAUCUACACGUUCAGUCCUAUUAGGCUGCAGUAAACUAAUAAACUCAGCAUCACAUAGUGCUAAUACA